AUACGUAGGGGGCGAGCGUUGUCCGGAAUGAUUGGGCGUAAAGGGCGCGUAGGCGGCCCGGUAAGUCUGGAGUGAAAGUCCUGUUUUUAAGAUGGGAAUUGCUUUGGAUACUGUCGGGCUUGAGUGCAGGAGAGGUAAGUGGAAUUCCCAGUGUAGCGGUGAAAUGCGUAGAGAUUGGGAGGAACACCAGUGGCGAAGGCGGGUAACUGGACUGCAACUGACGCUGAGGCGCGAAAGUGUGGGGAGCAAACAGGAUUAGAUACCCUGGCAGUCCACACUGUAAACGAUGAAUGCUAGGUGUAAGAGGUAUCGACCCCUUUUGUGCCGGAGUCAACACAAUAAGCAUUCCGCCUGGGGAGUACGGCCGCAAGGUUGAAACUCAAAGGAAUUGACGGGG
rnacentral:rRNA from 1 species